GAGGGUAUAGCUCAGUGGUAGAGGGCAUGUCUAGCAUGCACAAGGUCCUGGGUUCGAUCCCCAGUACCUCCA
rfam:Camelus ferus unplaced genomic scaffold scaffold1001, whole genome shotgun sequence.